AAGACCUUGCGCUUUUGGAGCGGCCGAUGCCUGAUUAGCUUGUUGGUAAGGUAAAGGCUUACCAAGGCUUCGAUCAGUAGCUGGUCUGAGAGGACGGCCAGCCACACUGGGACUGAGACACGGCCCAGACUCCUACGGGAGGCAGCAGUGGGGAAUUUUGGACAAUGGGGGAAACCCUGAUCCAGCCAUGCCGCGUGAGUGAAGAAGGCCUUCGGGUUGUAAAGCUCUUUCAGCCGGAACGAAACGGUUACGGAUAAUACCCGUGACUACUGACGGUACCGGAAGAAGAAGCACCGGCUAACUACGUGCCAGCAGCCGCGGUAAUACGUAGGGUGCGAGCGUUAAUCGGAAUUACUGGGCGUAAAGCGUGCGCAGGUGGUUUUGUAAGUCAGAUGUGAAAGCCCCGGGCUCAACCUGGGAACU
rnacentral:rRNA from 1 species